rnacentral:tRNA from 1 species
UCCAGGGUAGCCUAGUGGACAUGGCACCUGCCCGGUAAGCAGAAGGUUGUGGGUUCGAUUCUCGCCCCUGGAC